CCAGGCUCCCCUCCAAGUACACGGCUCCUACACGAGAGGAAGAGCGUGCCCAGAGGGAGGGAGAUGUUAAUAUUCAGAGAAAAUCGCAUCCCAGUGAAGAACAGACAAGCCAGAACCCACUCACAGAAACUACCGACAAGAUCAGAAGCAAUUGUUUCAAGCACAUACAUCUAAGCAUGUCCACGACACCCGACGCCCUCAGGCACUGGGACUCUGCCCUGGAGGAACUGCAAACACUGUGUGCAACGAGACGAGAAAGCGGAGGCCUGGAGGGGAGAACGACACGCCACAGCCCCGGGUCUGUGAGAGGACGGAGGGGUGUGGACCGAAUCCCAAGGGCCAAGGCAAGUGCCUGCGUCCUGCCUGCCAUGAUUCACUGUAAGAAGACACUUCCAGAGACAGGAACAUCGAACCAGCUAAUGUAGGUAAGGUGCCCAGCGGGCGUCUAAAUCCAAUCAAGGGUUCUGCUAGUCGCCCAGCCAAGUCAAAGCGGCGAGCUGGACAGCUUAAACCCUAAAUCUUAAUGAAUGAGAUUUGUAAUUUGGGGGGAUUCUCAAAGGUCUGUAAAGUACCCCCUAUGAAUACAA